UGGGGAAGGUCAGGUUCUAGGAGACAGACAGAAACUCAGCUCUUAAGUAAGUAGAAACUUAACCAUACAGCAUAAUGGCCCCUGCUUUCAAAAUGGAGUCAGUGGGACAUUCGAAGUGGAGAGAUCCUUCAGGAGUAUGAUCAGCAUUUGGGAGCUGCCAACACCAUUGUUUUUGUGGAUGAGAAUCGAUGAUUUGUGAGUACGUCUGAUAAUAAGAAUGCUAGACCUGCAGCUCCUUUGCCUGCUACAUAAUGACUGCCCAGUGUCUCGGCAGAGAAGAGCCAAAAUGAGUUCUUAAUAUUGGUGACUUCACCCAAUGGGAAGCCGUUAAUCCCACCAAUCAAGAAUAAAACCACUACCAUAAUUUAAAGCCAAA